ensembl:lncRNA
GGAGAGAAAAGAAGCAGUGAUGAUUAUCAUAUGCACCAUGUGCCUCAGCACAGGGAACAGCUGGAAUGGUGUGUGCAGUGGUACAACUUCUCAGUGCAACAUGUGCUUUGUCUGCCUCUUUCUGUACAAGUUUCUUUCUUCUGUUCACUUCUCCCUGCUUUGAUGAUUUUGUUUUCUUGUUUUCUUGCCAAUAUUGCUUGAGAUGUACGGUUUCCAGCUCUACUGCUCCUGGGCAGCCCUGCCAUAUGGGCUGCUCAGCAUUAUCAGUGUCUGGGUAAUGAAGAAAUUUUGCUUUGAGGUUAUGUGGCCAUAUGGGCUGCCUGAAGACAAGAAGCUUUAUUUCCAGCUCCAGAGCUGAUUCACAGCAUGACUUCUGUGUGGCCAAGGGUGCCACAGAUAAAUUUAGCUCUCUGCUGCAUGUCAAGGUUUCUAGUUCCUCCAGGCUUCAGAAACUGAGUAAAUGAGACUCUGGAAGAGCUGAUGGUCUACUGAAGGAUGAUGACACGAGUCUUAGGUUUGCAGAUGCACAAAAGGAGGGUUGAAAAUUCCCUGUUGUGUAUCUGGAGUUCCCAGGGCUUGGCUUGGGCCAGUCUUAGAAUCACAGAACAGUGGAACCAUUACAGUUGGAAACGACCACUAAGGUCAUCUAGUCCAACCAUCAACCCACCACUGCCACAAGUCUUCCUAGAGUCUUGGAUUUCCUGCAGUGAAAUAAAAGUACUGCAGCUUCUGCACUUCGAUUUUGUAGACAGUCAACUGCCAUGAGACUUCCCAAGCUGCUCUGUCCAUCUUUUCACUUUUGGGAAGCCCACGGGUCCCACUGGGUGAAAGCAAUACUGAUCCUGGGGCCAUCUGCGUGGCUGGGUUGCUCACAUCUCUGGGAUGUGAAAGCUGCAAGAGCUCCUGGUAGCUAAGAGCCUUUCCAAAACACCUAUGAGUGGGAAUGACACAAUGAUCUUUGGGUGAGGUGCCUUCAGGGCUACUUUGUAUGACAAAGAGGAGGGCUCAACGUGUACAUAAUGCCCACUAAUAGCAAAUACUUCUCAUGGUGUGCCUAACAACCUCUCCGAGAACAAGCUUUGUGUGUCUCAUUUCCCGGGUCACCAUUCUUUGAAUUUCACCUUCACCACAAGAAAACCUAAGCGAGAAUUUGUGGUUAUCAUUCACCAGAGUUGGGACAACACAGCAAGUCUUGGUACCUCCAUUCUACCUUGCGAAAUCUGUCUUCAUAUUUGGCUGCCCCAGCAAUGGAACACGAAGGCCAGUGCCAAGAGAAUACAUCAUUCCCACAACAUGUGGCUGCCAACGAGCCUGCAAGGCUGAGCUGAAGAGUUCAAAGCUUUAAGCUUGGACCAAGACGCCGUGCUGAGGUCGUGCAGUGCUGGCGGGAUGGCUAGGGAUGCAGUAACAAGGAAUCGUGACGUGAGCCAUCAUCGAGUGCUCUCCAGACAGUCACGGAGAUGCAGAUUUACCUCCUCCGUACCAAGGAUCAUUAUUUCUGUGUGGUAUUUUUAGACUGUAAGCACCCAGGAGAUUGUUAGAAGCAGACCCCCUUUAGAUACUGAAAGGCAUCUAUCAAGUCUCUUCUCCAGGCUGAACAUCCCCAGCUCUCUCAGCUCAUCUUUGUAGCGGAGGUGUUCCAUCCCUUGGAUCACUCUUGUGGCCCUCCACUGGAUGCACUCCAACAGCUCCAUGUCUCUCCUGUACUGAGGACUCCACAUCUGGACGCAGUGCUCCAGCUGGGUGUCGUUUCUCUCCUGAGCCUGAGACUUCCUACUGGCUUGAGAGUCACAUCCAGCAUCUCUUCAAUCUCCUUGCAAAACCACGCAUUAAUUAGCCUGUCCUGGAGCUUGACACCUUGUUCUCCCACAGGGACGUGGCCCCACUGGACUGUAGCUGAACUCUUCCAGGAUGCAUGACAGAUGCAGCACAUACGAUCCUGCCAAGAUAGCCUUUGCAAAGGGUCCCUGAAAGCACUAUUACUCUGGUUGCCUCCCUGUUGCCCCACAAUACUUCACUCACUAGCACAGGACAAACAGCAGCUCCUGUAAGCCAGGAAGAUGGAGUCACUCACCAGCCUUUGAGCUGAGCAUUAAACAUCUGGCUGUUGAUGCGAGAAUGAAUAAGCUAGAAGGCUGAUGUGAACCAGAUUGUUUGCACUCUGUCCAAAAAAUUCCUUCACAAGCUCCCAGUGUCGACUUUUGGCUUAUCUUUCACACAUAGGCUCUCUGGGCUCUUUCUGGGAAACCAGGAGAAGUGUGGAUUCACACCAGUGGAGAAGCAGGAUUUGUCAUGCUCAUUUGUGUUAGGCUUCGUCUGAGCAGACAGGUUUGGGCUUGAUUGAGGACACACUCCUCCGUGUCUCUGAAAUGAAGCAAGGCACUCUCCCAAGAUCCAAACCAAGUGGAGCAGGGAGGGAAGGGAAAAAGAAAAAGGCAUGUGAAAAUGACCCUGCUUCCUCCAGGUCCAGGGAGGGAGUGCAGAGUGGAUGAAAGAGGGAAGGAGCCAGAGGUUGGCUCGAGUUGCGUUGGAAACUCCUGCGCACUGUGCCUUGUUUGCCAUGGCCAAAGCCUGGCAAUCACCAUUUGUAUCCACUUCAUCCACUGUUUGACCAGAGGAUUAGUGCAGAGUCUGGCCAUUAGUUUACUAUUGAGUCCUGAUCCCUCUCUGACUGCGAGUCUUUUCUUCCAAGUCUUCUUCCUCAACUACAAAUGAAUAAAAUCGGCCCUGGCCAAGCAGGAGGGAACACCAGGUCUGCCACCAUCUCCACCGGGCAGCACCUUGCACUUGGCUCUGUUGAGCUUCAUUAGGUUCACGUGGGCCCACUUUUCAAGCCUGUCCACGUCCCUCUGGAUGCCAUCCCUUCCUUCUACUGUGUCAACGGCACCACUCAGCUCAGUGCCACCAGCAAACUGCUGAGAGUGCACUCAAUCCCAUCAUUGAUGUCAAUGAUGAAGAUGUUGAAAAGCACCAGCCCCAAGACGGAUCCCUGGGGGACACCGCUCAUGACCAGCCUUCACCUGGACACACAGCCAUUGACUGCAACCCUCUGGCUGCAGCCAUCCAACCAACUCUUUAUCCACCCAAUAGCCCAGCCUUCAUAUCCAUAUCUCUCCAAUUUAGAGAUAAGGAUGUGGUGCAGGGCUAUGCCAAAGGCCUUGCACAAGUCCAGGUAGAUGACAUCAGCUGCCUUUCCUUUGUCCACCAGUGCUAUCACUUAAAUACUGAGUGGUCAAGAUAAGAAACUGUGAGAUUCCUUUGUAGCAAGAUCAGUUCAAAUUAGACGUUAAGAAGAACUCGGUAGCAGAGAGCAGGACUCUGGAAUCAGCUGUCUGAGGUCUCUGCAGUCUCCAACACUGCAAGCUUUUAAGGAGAAUCUCUUUAAGCACAGAGUUAAUAUCAACCUCUGCUGGGAAUGGCAUAGAUGGAGUUGUUUCCUGCUUAGACUAGAAAGAUAAAGCAUGUGAUCCUUCAGGAUGCCUUUCAGUUUUAUUCCUCGACAGUUUCACGAGAUUUCCUUUGAGGAUAGAACAAAGUGUUAUCAGCCUCCAUAAAACAGUGCAGAGAGAGCUAUGCUGCCUUUCUGGGAAGUCCAGCUGGACUUGAGGGAAUGGGAUUUAUCUCUGCUGUUUUCUGAGGAGCAUCUCUAGGCCACGUUCAGGACCAGAUGUACCCUCUGUACAGGCAGCCAUCACACAAAAGCAACUUUUGUGCACACAGAGGCCUCAACGAUGAGCUCAAAGAACGCAGUCCACAAGAGCCCAGCAUGACAUUGGAAGCACUGCAGGACAGCAACAGACAUUUUCUGCCUCCCAGUGCUGAGGAAAUGGCUUGAUUCUGCAAAUUCUGACCUCCAGCACAGGGAAAGAAUUGAGGUCCUACACUACUCCUCACAGAGUCCUUUUGGAAUUGUUAACAGACUAGCCAGGAAGAAAGAAAAAUUACUGUGCUAUAAUUUGAAGCAUGAAAGAAGACGAUGGAAACAGAGGGACCCCUCAAGACCUCUGAUCAAAAUGUUGCUGCCACAGGUACCCUGCCAUAUGUUCCCACUCACACCUUCAAUAUUAUUAAAAGUCUUUUCCAGAACUGCAUUCCUCUGAUGCCUCAAAGCCAUCUGCUGGUUUUUCCACUUCAAAAGUAGCCAUGGCCCAAUUUACAUCCAUUUACAUUUGUGCCUAAAAUGCUUCAGAGACCUGAAGCUUGAAUAGCUCCUCUCCCUCCUGUACGUGUAUGGAAAGAUCCCCUCUCCUGUCCAUCCUCAUAUAGGAAUUUUAUUCCUAUAUUGUACUCGAGAAACUCAGGUUUGGUGCCUAAAACUAAAGAAAAGGGUUGAAAAGGACCACAAUGAUCAUCUAGUUUUAACCACA